GAGUUUGAUCAUGGCUCAGAUUGAACGCUGGCGGCAUGCCUUACACAUGCAAGUCGAACGGCAGCGGGGGAAAGCUUGCUUUCCUGCCGGCGAGUGGCGAACGGGUGAGUAAUACAUCGGAACGUGCCCUGUAGUGGGGGAUAACUAGUCGAAAGAUUAGCUAAUACCGCAUACGACCUGAGGGUGAAAGUGGGGGACCGCAAGGCCUCAUGCUAUAGGAGCGGCCGAUGUCUGAUUAGCUAGUUGGUGGGGUAAAGGCCUACCAAGGCGACGAUCAGUAGCUGGUCUGAGAGGACGAUCAGCCACACUGGGACUGAGACACGGCCCAGACUCCUACGGGAGGCAGCAGUGGGGAAUUUUGGACAAUGGGCGAAAGCCUGAUCCAGCAAUGCCGCGUGUGUGAAGAAGGCC
rnacentral:rRNA from 1 species